AUUAUGGCUCAGAACGAACGCUGGUAGCGUGGAUUAGGCAUGCAAGUCGAACGGGAUCCGGGAGGUAGCAAUACUCCUGGUGAGAGUGGCGGAUUGGGGAGGAACACGUGAGCAACCUGCCUUGGAGUCGGGGAAAACCGUUGGAAACGACGGCUAAUACCGGAUGUGGCGCCUGGCGACAUCGCCGGAGCGCUAAAGGGGGCCGCAAGGCUCUCGCUCCUAGAGGGCUCGCGCACCAUCAGCUUGUUGGCGGGGUAACGGCCCACCAAGGCCUACGGUUAGCUGGUCUGAGAGGAUGACCACGCCCCACGUGGGACUGAGAUACUCGCCCAGACUCCGUACGGGAGGCUGCAGUCGGAGGAUCUAUUUGACAAGUGGGACGAAAGCCUGAACAAUGCGACGCUGCGUGGGAAGGAUAGGAACGGCCGUUCGGGUUAGUAAACCUCCUGUCAGUGGGGGAACAGGCGAGGGGACCCAAUACGUCCCUUAGUUGAGUGUACCCCAAGAGGAAUUGGCGGCUAACUCUGUGCCAGCAGCCGC
rnacentral:rRNA from 1 species